GAAAGCGAAACUGAAAAGCAACACGUUCUUACAUGUUGUAAAACUGCAUGAAAUGUUACAUUUGUGAUGUGCUAUUGUGUAUAGCUGUGUAUUGUGCGUUUUGUAUGUUCUUUCUUGUAUGACUGUAGUAUGUUUCUUUGUUUUGACCUGCCAAGGGACUCACAUAUGUGAAUUAGAUUAAAACUAUAAUCUGGUGACAUUUAUGUUUUAAGCUGUAAAUGGUCCCUUUUAAAUAAAAUAAAAUAAAAAAUUUAUAUAUUUCAUUAUGGACUGUGUGCUUUGGUGGUUUGUGUGCCUAUAUAUCUGAGAUGGUUUUUUGUCAAGUCAAUAAAGAAAAUGCAGGAAGGAGGCAAAUCUGAAUAACCAUCAUCAUAAUAAAGCAGCUGUAUAGGUGGAGAGGCCUCCAUACUGUAUUUGCUUCUGCCACACACCAUAAGGAGGAGCAUCAAAAGACAUGAACAACGAAUUAAAAGCAAAU